AUGAAGGUUGGACGAGGGAUGAGCUGUCUCCUUUACGUAAUUUGAAUUUAACUUUUGAGUGAAAAGGCUCAAAUUAUUUAGUGGGACGAUAAGACCCUAUAAAACUUUAUAUAAGUUUAAUUUGGCUUACAAUUUGAGUGAAAAGUAGCUUUAUUAGGCUUAUAUUUCGUUGGGGAGAUGUAGAUAUAAUGUGUAACUGUCUGUUUAAUUUAAUAAUUAUAAUUAGUGUGUGAUCCUUCUUUGUGGAUUAAAAGUAUAAGUUACUUUAGGGAUAACAGCGUGAUUUUCUUUGAGAGUUCUUAUCGACAAGAGUAGUUGCGACCUCGAUGUUGAAUUAAAAUUUCAGUUAGGUGUAGCCGUCUAGCUGGUAGGUCUGUUCGACCUUUAAAAUUUUACAUGAUUUGAGUUCAAACCGGUGUGAGCCAGGUUGGUUUCUAUCUAA
rnacentral:rRNA from 1 species